rnacentral:lncRNA from 1 species
GGGGUUAGGUUAGAAGUAAUGAUUACUGGCAAGAUCUUCUCAGGUCCUAAAAAUACAUACUUAAGUGAUUUAGGUAAAAGUUUUAGUUCAAAUUAUGGUGGGGCCUAAAUUGAAGAAUGUAGUGGUUCAGUUUCUAGCUUAGGUAAGGGCUCAAUUCUCAUUGACCAAGGCAGUGAAUGUGCUAGGUGAGGUGAAUCAAGCAAGGCAUUCACCUCCUAAUUUUGGGUUUCUUCAAUGGGCUCAUCCAGAAAUCAUCUUCCAUCAAAUCUA